UACGGAGGGAGCUAGCGUUAUUCGGAAUUACUGGGCGUAAAGCGCACGUAGGCGGCUUUGUAAGUAAGAGGUGAAAGCCCAGAGCUCAACUCUGGAAUUGCCUUUUAGACUGCAUCGCUUGAAUCAUGGAGAGGUCAGUGGAAUUCCGAGUGUAGAGGUGAAAUUCGUAGAUAUUCGGAAGAACACCAGUGGCGAAGGCGACUCGCUGGACAAGUAUUGACGCUGAGGUGCGAAAGCGUGGGGAGCAAACAGGG
rnacentral:rRNA from 1 species